AACCUUCUGGAACUUCCAGCUGCUCAGCGCAGUCCCAAUGGACAGGCUGGCUUGGCUCACUCCCCUCCUGCUGGGAUGAAGUUUGCUUUUGUGCAUGGGCGUGCCGGCGCCUGCAGUGAGCAGCACCUAGCAGGACCCGGUGACAGAAUUCAGGGUAAGAAUCAUUAUGUUUGAUAACGACUGUAAAGUGCGACAGCGAGGGGUGGAAAAGACGAAGAAGGGGGACACGGUCCCCAAAGUGGGCCUGGAAGAAGCUCCUGGACCAAGGAUGUCACCAUCCGAUGCCAGGGGACCCUGAAGGUCCUCAUCCUUGAGGUCCCCAUGCAGAUCAGCACACGUUUAUCGAGCUCUGGUGCCAGGUGGGAAGAGAUGCUAAGCAGAUUAUGUUGCUUGCUGUCUCUGCCACGUUGGAGAGAGAAGAAUAAACCUGCCCCGUUGAAUUGAAUUGAGCUGAGUUUCAAGAGAUUUAGAUCUUAUUUGGGAGCACCAAGAAACCGAGUCUUCAGCCAGGUACAGUGGGACACACCCGGAAUCCCAGCAUGCAGGGAGGCUGACGCAGGACGCUCACAAGUUCAAGCCCAAC